rnacentral:rRNA from 1 species
UACGGGGGGGGCAAGCGUUGUUCGGAAUUACUGGGCGUAAAGGGCGCGUAGGCGGCCUGCUAAGUCGGAUGUGAAAUCCCUCGGCUCAACCGAGGAACUGCAUCCGAUACUGGCGGGCUUGAAUCCGGGAGAGGGAUGUGGAAUUCCUGGUGUAGCGGUGAAAUGCGCAGAUAUCAGGAGGAACACCUAUUGCGAAGGCAGCUCGCUGGGACGUAACUGACGCUGAGACGCGAAAGCGUGGGGAGCAAACAGG